AUGAGAUUAAAUUAUGGUACACAUACAAAAACCAUGAGACAUUUCUGUUCAGUAAUAAAUAAGGCAGUGACUAUUACUCAUUAGUAGCCUUUUUGAGGUAAGUUAUUAAGUCUGCCCU